rfam:Triticum aestivum genome assembly, contig: Triticum_aestivum_CS42_TGACv1_scaffold_034565_1BL
CUUGUACUCCCUUCGUCCGGAAAUACUUGUCAUCAAAAUGAAUGAAAGGUGAUGUAUCUAGAUGCAUAUUAGUUCUAGAUAUAUCCCUUUUUAACAAUUUGGAUGACAAGUAUUUUCAGACGGAGGGAGUAGGAG